rnacentral:miRNA from 1 species
AAGAUCUCUGAAUGAAAUGUGG